GAAUCCCGUCUUUGACACGGACUGCCUGCAUGUUAUGGUGCGCUCUCAAAGAGUCGAGUUGUUUGGGAAUGCAGCUCAAAAUGGGUGGUAAAUGCCAUCUAAAGCUAAAUAUUGGCGAGAGACCGAUAGCGAACAAGUACCGUGAGGGAAAGAUGAAAAGCACUUUGGAAAGAGAGUGAAACAGUACGUGAAAUUGUUGAAAGGGAAACGCUUGAAGUCAGUCGCGUCGACCGAGACUCAGCCUCGCCUCGGCUUGGUGUACUUCUCGGCUGACGGGUCAGCAUCAAUUUUGCCCCUUGGAUAAUGGCGAGGGAAAUGUGACACCUUUGCGGUGUGUUAUAGUCUCUCGUCGCAUGCAAGGGUCGGGAUUGAGGAACUCAGCACGCACCUUUGGGCGUCGGGGCUUUGCCCACGAUACGUGCUUAGGAUGCUGGCGUAAUGGCUUUAAACGACCCGUCUUGAAACACGGACCAAGGAGUCUAACAUGCCUGCGAGUGUUCGGGUGGAAAACCCGUGCGCGCAAUGAAAGUGAAAGUUGGGACCUCUGUCGUGGAGGGCACCGACGCCCGGACCAGACCUUCUGUGACGGUUCUGCGGUAGAGCAUGUAUGUUAGGACCCGAAAGAUGGUGAACUAUGCCUGAAUAGGGUGAAGCCAGAGGAAACUCUGGUGGAGGCUCGUAGCGAUUCUGACGUGCAAAUCGAUCGUCAAAUUUGGGUAUAGGGGCGAAAGACUAAUCGAACCAUCUAGUAGCCGGUUCCUGCC
rnacentral:rRNA from 1 species